GCCGCCUUAGCUCAGCCUGGGAGAGCGCUCGACUGAAGAUCGAGUUGUCCCCCGUUCAAAUCGGGGAGGCGGCA
rnacentral:tRNA from 1 species